AGGGGCCGAGGCUGGGGCUCACCGGCCCGGUUCCACCCGCCGCUGGCCGCGCCUCGCCGGGGGCCCGGUCCAAACCUCUCCCGUCCCCAGCCCUCCGCCGGCCGCUCCUCAGUGACCCGGCCCGCCCGCCGCGCAGACUGCGGCCCCACCCUGGGCCCGCCAGGCCCUCCUGCCCCCGCCCGGCGGCCAGGCCCUGCCCUGAGGCGGGAGGCGCCCGCGACGCCAUCUCCCCGGCCCGCGCCGCCCUCUUUGCGGCCAGCGCGCUCCCGAGAAGACCCGAGUAGCCCACGCGGGCCCCGCGCGCCCCACGCACCCCACGCACCCCAGGCCCACUCACCGCGCGGGACCAAGCCACCACCCUGGCUCACUAGGCGCCUCCCGCGCCGCCGGAAGUGAGGGCCGCGCCGCGCUCUGGCGCCGCCACUGUCGCUCUAGGAACGUGGUGGAGCGACCCUCUAUGGUCCCGGGCCCACCUAACAGCGUCGUUCCUUUUUUUUUCCUGUGGUUUUCUUUUCUCCUCCCGCCCCUCGGAAGGCAUCCCGUGACCCCCAGGACCUCAAGAGCUGUAACCGCCCCUGGGUGUUGUCGAGGCUUUUGAAACCGAACUCCAGCCUCUCCAACCGAGAAGCUAUAUACUUUCUACCAAUACUGAGCUUUUUGAGAGCCUAAGAAGUUCCUGGUACUUUUCACGAGGUCAACCUAUUUAAUUAUCACCAAAAAAGCUCCUGCAAGAUGGGAGCGGUUAUAUUCCAUUUUAUAGGAAAGGAAACCAAGGCUCAGAGAAGACAUUUGCUGGGUUCACCGCGCCUCCUCAGCCAUCCCGGCCGUGCUCAGUCAUCUGACCAGCUGACCGCCGUGUUCCCUCACUCCCGGGGAACUCCUCCCGCCUCGGCUUCCGAUGCUGUUGCUGCAUGUUGAAGACUCCCGCACUGAUAACUCCAGUCUGAUCGUGGAACGCAGACGGGAGCUGUCUCUGCAAAUGGUAAAGCACAAAGCUGAAUGAGAUCUGGACAAAGAGUCUGUACUCACAAUCUAGAGAGUAUCUGGACUAUUGCAGUGAUUAAAUGAGGUGAGGUCCCUGCACUUUGCGGUGUGACUCCUGGUGCCUCCUGGUGAACCACGUGCCCGUCCCACUGAUGCUGACUUGACCACUGACUUGCACUGGCUGACUUCAUGUGACUGGAGGCAAGGGGUACACCACAUCCUGGAAGAAGCUUUGAGUCACUGCCUUUCUUCCAGGACUCUGCUCUUUCCCUCUGCCUUGAGAAUAUCAUGUCCCAAGUAGGGGCUGCCCGCUUAGUCUAGGACCUGGGAUGAGAAGACACAUGGAGCAGAGCCACAGAAGCCCACUCUAGCCACAACAGUCCCACGAAAUGUGAGAGAAACAAAUGCUCUUGUAACACUGAGAUUCUUGGUGUCAUUUGUUAUUGCAUUAAAGUUGACUAACGUACCUCCCACCACCCUUAAGAGAUAGGAAUUGCUAUUAUCCUGUGAUAUUGUGAAAUAUAUAGUUGGUGGGUUUCCUCACAUACAACUUCUAAAAUUCUUAGAAUCUCCAAAGUGAUGUCUUUUUAUAUGUGAAUGAGUUGACUGGUGGCCAGCAGCCCCUGAGUAGUUUCAGGAUGGGGCUGGUCACUGGAAAGACCAAGGCAGGAUUAGAAGAAUGGCAAUUUCAGCUCCACCCCAUCAACAUUGGGUGGAGGAGGGCAACUGAAGGUAAAGUUGAUCACAAAUGGCUGAUGGAUUAAUCAAUCAUACCUAUGUUAUAAAGUCUCCAUAAAAGCCUCAAAAGGACUGGGUUCGAGAGCUUCUGGAUACCAGAACACAUGGAGGUUCCCAGAGGGUGGGGCGUGCAGUUGGGGGUGCAGCAGGGAACAGGCAUGGAAUCUCCAUGCCUUUUCCUUCAUAUUUCAUCCUGUGCAUUUCUUUUUCUGUAUCCUUUGGAAUAUCCUUUGUAAUAAACCAGUAAAUGUGUU